rnacentral:rRNA from 1 species
CGGUAUCCUGACCGUGCUAAGGUAGCAUAAUAGCUUGCCUUUUAAUUAAAGGCUUGUAUGAACGAACCAACGAGAGUUUGACUGUCUCCUAGAUAAACACGAAAUUUAACCUUUAUGUGAAAAGGCAUAAAUAAAACUAAAAGACAAAAAGACCCUGUCGAGCUUAAUUGCUAACCCCCCGAUAGAAAAAUAAUUUACUCUUUCCAGGAAAUAAACCAAUUUAGUUGGGGCAACAAGGGAACACCUAAACCUUCCCUUAUGAAAUUUAUUUUAAUCAAAAGACCCCCAAUCGGGCCAAAAGAUAAAAGCUACCGCAGGGAUAACAGGUUAAUUUUUCUCGAGAGUACACAUUAACAGAAAAGAUUGGCACCUCGAUGUUGGGCUUAGG